rnacentral:rRNA from 1 species
GGGUUAAGUCCCGCAACGAGCGCAACCCUUAAGCUUAGUUGCCAUCAUUAAGUUGGGCACUCUAAGUUGACUGCCGGUGACAAACCGGAGGAAGGUGGGGAUGACGUCAAAUCAUCAUGCCCCUUAUGAUUUGGGCUACACACGUGCUACAAUGGACAAUACAAAGGGCAGCGAAACCGCGAGGUCAAGCAAAUCCCAUAAAGUUGUUCUCAGUUCGGAUUGUAGUCUGCAACUCGACUACAUGAAGCUGGAAUCGCUAGUAAUCGUAGAUCAGCAUGCUACGGUGAAUACGUUCCCGGGUCUUGUACACACCGCCCGUCACACCACGAGAGUUUGUAACACCCGAAGCCGGUGGAGUAACCUUUUAGGAGCUAGCCGUCGAAGGUGGGACAAAUGAUUGGGGUGAAGUCGUAACAAGGUAGCCGUAUCGGAAGGUGCGGCUGGAUCACCUCCUUU